rnacentral:rRNA from 1 species
AGUGAACGCUGGCGGUAGGCCUAACACUUGCAAGUCGAACGGCAGCACAGUAAGAGCUUGCUCUUACGGGUGGCGAGUGGCGGACGGGUGAGGAAUACAUCGGAAUCUACUUUUUCGUGGGGGAUAACGUAGGGAAACUUACGCUAAUACCGCAUACGACCUACGGGUGAAAGCAGGGGAUCUUCGGACCUUGCGCGAUUGAAUGAGCCGAUGUCGGAUUAGCUAGUUGGCGGGGUAAAGGCCCACCAAGGCGACGAUCCGUAGCUGGUCUGAGAGGAUGAUCAGCCACACUGGAACUGAGACACGGUCCAGACUCCUACGGGAGGCAGCAGUGGGGAAUAUUGGACAAUGGGCGCAAGCCUGAUCCAGCCAGACCGCGUGGGUGAAGAAGGCCUUCGGGUUGUAAAGCCCUUUUGUUGGGAAAGAAAAGCAGCAGGUUAAUACCCCGCUGUUCUGACGGUACCCAAAGAAUAAGCACCGGCUAACUUCGUG